GAUGAACGCUGGCGGCGUGCCUAAUACAUGCAAGUCGAGCGAAUGGAUUAAGAGCUUGCUCUUAUGAAGUUAGCGGCGGACGGGUGAGUAACACGUGGGUAACCUGCCCAUAAGACUGGGAUAACUCCGGGAAACCGGGGCUAAUACCGGAUAACAUUUUGAACCGCAUGGUUCGAAACUGAAAGGCGGCUUCGGCUGUCACUUAUGGAUGGACCCGCGUCGCAUUAGCUAGUUGGUGAGGUAACGGCUCACCAAGGCAACGAUGCGUAGCCGACCUGAGAGGGUGAUCGGCCACACUGGGACUGAGACACGGCCCAGACUCCCACGGGAGGCAGCAGUAGGGAAUCUUCCGCAAUGGACGAAAGUCUGACGGGGCAACGCCGCGUGAGUGAUGAAGGCUUUCGGGUCGUAAAACUCUGUUGUUAGGGAAGAACAAGUGCUAGUUGAAUAAGCUGGCACCUUGACGGUACCUAACCAGAAAGCCACGGCUAACUACGUGCCAGCCGCCGCCGUAA
rnacentral:rRNA from 1 species